CCGCCGGCGACCGGCGCACGGGUGAGUAACGCGUAUGCAACCUGCCCGUUUCAGCGGGAUAACCCGGAGAAAUCCGGCCUAAUACCGCAUGUGGCCGAGGGGAGGCAUCCUCUUUCGGCCAAAGGAGGCGACUCCGGAGACGGAUGGGCAUGCGUGACAUUAGCUAGUUGGCGGGGUAACGGCCCACCAAGGCGACGAUGUCUAGGGGUUCUGAGAGGAAGGUCCCCCACACUGGUACUGAGACACGGACCAGACUCCUACGGAAGGCAGCAG
rnacentral:rRNA from 1 species